rnacentral:rRNA from 1 species
GUGGGGAAUAUUGGACAAUGGGGGGAACCCUGAUCCAGCCAUGCCGCGUGUGUGAAGAAGGCCUUUUGGUUGUAAAGCACUUUAAGCGAGGAGGAGGCUACCGAGAUUAAUACUCUUGGAUAGUGGACGUUACUCGCAGAAUAAGCACCGGCUAACUCUGUGCCAGCAGCCGCGGUAAUACAGAGGGUGCAAGCGUUAAUCGGAUUUACGGGGCGUAAAGCGCGCGUAGGUGGCCAAUUAAGUCAAAUGUGAAAUCCCCGAGCUUAACUUGGGAAUUGCAUUCGAUACUGGUUGGCUAGAGUAUGGGAGAGGAUGGUAGAAUUCCAGGUGUAGCGGUGAAAUGCGUAGAGAUCUGGAGGAAUACCGAUGGCGAAGGCAGCCAUCUGGCCUAAUACUGACGCUGAGGUACGAAAGCAUGGGGAGCAAACAGGAUUAGAUACCCGGGUAGUCC